AAUGAACGUUGGCGGCGUGGAUUGGGCAUGCAAGUCGAGCGAGAACCGUAGCAAUACGGGGACAGCGGCGCAAGGGAGAGUAAUACGUGGAUACCUACCCUCGGGUCCGGGAUAGCUGCGGGAAACUGCAGGUAAUACCGGAUGACAUCUCCGGAUCAAAGGUGUGAUUCCGCCCGGGGAGGGGUCCGCGUCCUAUUAGCUAGUUGGUGAGGUAACGGCUCACCAAGGCUGUGAUGGGUACGGGGUGUGAGAGCAUGCCCCCGCUCACUGGGACUGAGACACUGCCCAGACACCUACGGGUGGCUGCAGUCGAGAAUCUUCGGCAAUGGGCGCAAGCCUGACCGAGCGACGCCGCGUGCGAGAUGAAGGCCUUCGGGUUGUAAAUCGCUGUCAGAGGGGAGGAAAUGCCGGUGGGUUCUCUCAUCGGUUUGACCUAUCCUCAGAGGAAGGACGGGCUAAGUUCGUGCCAGCAGCCGCAGUAA
rnacentral:rRNA from 1 species